GCUUUGUAAAGGCAGGAGGUGGAAGGAAGUUUUAACUCUGGCAAUACGGUCUGCUUUUUCUUUUGGAAAAAACUCACCGACCCCUGCACUAGGUGAGACGACAACUUACAGACAACAGCUUUAUCUGUUUAAAGCUGAAUUUAACUCCUACGUCUUACUGUGUUUUAUCAGUGAGGAGACAGACCCACAGAGGGUAAGUAUCUCAAUGAAAAUCAUGUGAUGACCAAGAGACAAAGUCAAUAUUAAAUGCUAGCCUUCUAACCA
rnacentral:lncRNA from 1 species